rnacentral:rRNA from 1 species
UGAUAAACAUAAAUAUUUUAAAUAUAUAUAACAAAAAAAAUAAGAAAUUUUAAAUAUAAUAAUAUAAAGUAUAGUAAUGGAAAUAAAUUAAAAUAUUAAAAAGUAAAAAUAU